rnacentral:rRNA from 1 species
ACAAAUUUUAAAUUUUUUUGCAUAUUCCAAUAGCGGAGGAAAAGAAACAAACAUGGAUUCCCCUAGUAGCGGCGAGCGAAGCGGGACGAGCCCAGAAUGGAAAGCUCCCGCCCGGGCGCAUUGUAAGCUGGAGACGUGCCUCGAGCGGCGCGGCCGGACCCAAGUCUGCUGGAAAGCAGCAUCAGAGAGGGUGAGAAUCCCGUGCUUGGUCUGUGGCUGUGGGCGCCGUGUUGUGGGGUGCGCUCGACGAGUCGCGUUGUUUGGGAAUGCAGCGCAAAGCGGGGUGGUAAACGCCAUCCAAGGCUAAAUACCGGGGAGAGACCGAUAGCGAACAAGUACCGUGAGGGAAAGAUGAAAAGAACUUUGGAAAGAGAGUUAAAGAGUACGUGAAAUUGCCAAAAGGGAAGCGCUGGCAGUCAGUGCCGCAGUGUGUGCCCUGCCCCCCCCGGGUGUCGGCCCGGGCGCAAGGGGGCAUGCAUGGGGCCCGUGUCGGUUUGCGGCUGGGGGAGAAGGCUGUGCGGAAGGUGGCUCUUUCUGCGGAGAGAGUGGUUAUAGCCGCGCAGUGGAUGCCCUGCCAUGCAGACCGAGGAGGAUCCGAAGGAUCUAGGACACGGGCUUAAUGGCUGUCAGCGGCCCGUCUUA